GGCUUUGUUGCGGAAAUCUUCAAGAAAUCAAUCAUCUGGGCUCAAAAAAACCAACCAAACAAAUACCAUAGCCAGCUUGAAUGUGACCCAAAAACUCUUCCAACACCUUGGUUGCCACAAAUCCUCUCAACACUACAAAGGAGAAGACGGUGGAGGGAUUAGCAAUAGUAGGAAGAAGAAGAAACAGCAAUGGUAGAAAUCUCUCCCAAUUCCUCCCAAGUUGUCUACCCUCCCUCUCUCAUUUUCUUUCCACUCUCUUGCACAACACAUACCCACACAUGACUACACGUAAGGUUGGAUAUAUAUGUGUGUGCAUGCGCGCGCAAACACAUUGGAUCGCUUAAAUGGGCAUAACUUAUCCUUAAAUAGGCUAAGAUGAAGUGGGCUAAGAAUAAUAUCAAACAAAUGGGGUAACAAUUAAUCUAAACCGAUAAUCUAAUAACCCAAUUAUUACUUGGACCAACCAUAAGUAUAUGUUUUUUCUAGGCCGAGCCAAGUCUAUAAUGUCGAUAAAUUAUCCAUUUGUUUUAAAUUAUCGCCCAAAUU
rnacentral:lncRNA from 1 species